AGAUUGAACGCUGGCGGCAUGCUUUACACAUGCAAGUCGAACGGCAGCGCGGGCUUCGGCCUGGCGGCGAGUGGCGAACGGGUGAGUAAUACAUCGGAACGUGCCCAGUAGUGGGGGAUAGCUCGGCGAAAGCCGGAUUAAUACCGCAUACGACCUGAGGGUGAAAGCGGGGGAUCUUCGGACCUCGCGCUAUUGGAGCGGCCGAUGGCAGAUUAGCUAGUGGUGGGUAAGCUA
rnacentral:rRNA from 1 species